UGUGUUAAAAGUAAACAAUUAUAGGUUAAAUUACGGCCUUCAACAAGGAGCGUUUACUCAAACCGAACAGCAAGCUAUAAAAAGAGCCACACAAUUUGUUUUGUCAUAUUUCCGCCGCUGCCGAGAAAUUCUUCAACUAGUUCCUGCAUUAAUUGAUCUUAAUCUUCCGCCGAAAUGUUUGAAACGUUAAUUUUUGUUAAAA
rnacentral:lncRNA from 1 species